GAUGAACGCUAGCGGCAGGCCUAAUACAUGCAAGUCGGACGGGAUUCAGGAGCUUGCUUCUGAUGAGAGUGGCGCACGGGUGCGUAACACGUAUGUAACCUACCUUUAUCAGGGGGAUAGCCUCUCGAAAGAGAGAUUAAGCCCGCAUAAAAUCACAGCACAGCAUUGUGUAAUGAUCAAAUAUUUAUAGGAUAAAGAUGGGCAUGCGGAACAUUAGCUAGAUGGCGGGGUAACGGCCCACCAUGGCGACGAUGUUUAGGGGAUCUGAGAGGAUGGCCCCCCACACUGGUACUGAGACACGGACCAGACUCCUACGGGAGGCAGCAGUAAGGAAUAUUGGUCAAUGGGCGGAAGCCUGAACCAGCCAUGCCGCGUGCAGGAAGACGGCCCUACGGGUUGUAAACUGCUUUUAUACGGGAAUAAACCCAGAUACGUGUAUCUGGCUAAAUGUACUGUAAGAAUAAGGAUCGGCUAACUCCGU
rnacentral:rRNA from 1 species